rnacentral:rRNA from 1 species
GGGGAAUAUUGCACAGUGGGGGAAACCCUGAUGCAGCAACGCCGCGUGAGUGAUGAAGGUCUUCGGAUCGUAAAGCUCUGUCUUCAGGGACGAUAAUGACGGUACCUGAGGAGGAAGCCACGGCUAACUACGUGCCAGCAGCCGCGGUAAUACGUAGGUGGCGAGCGUUGUCCGGAUUUACUGGGCGUAAAGGGAGCGUAGGCGGACUUUUAAGUGAGAUGUGAAAUACUCGGGCUCAACCCGGGGGCUGCAUUUCAAACUGAAAGUCUAGAGUGCAGGAGAGGAGAGUGGAAUUCCUAGUGUAGCGGUGAAAUGCGUAGAGAUUAGGAAGAACACCAGUGGCGAAGGCGGCUCUCUGGACUGUAACUGACGCUGAGGCUCGAAAGCGUGGGGAGCAAAC